GGUUCAAUCCCUGAUCGGACGACGGGUUUGAUGGAGGCUUGAUCCCUGCUGUAGCUUCCCCUGUCAGUAGCGAGUUAGCUGUCUUCGUGGGAGCUUCCGUCCAGCUCUUGUCUCAUUCGCUGCAUUUGCCGUACCAUUGCAAACUCAGGCUUUUAACAUGAGAGCGUUGGCGAUAUUGGUUAUCUGUGUUCUUGGAUCGGUAACAGCAACUCCAAUCAGGGACGUCACAACGAUUUUCAGAGCGAGAAAAGAAUUGGCAGCGUCGUGUGAGGCCACCGGACCCUCUGAGAGCGACCCGUGUGUCUUCUGCAAAUGCUUCUCGGGCAAAGGAUGUGUAGCAGUAUCAGCACGAUGCGACUGGGACCGCAACCAGGAAAAGUACGAGAGCGAGGGGUGCCGGGCCGAGUUCACCC